UAGGGAAUAUUGCAAAAUGGGCGAAAGCCCGAUGCAGCAACGCUGCGUGGGCGAUGAAGGCCUUCGGGUCGUAAAGCCCUUUUUGAGGGGAUGAGGAAGGACAGUACCCUCAGAAUAAGCCUCGGCUAACUACGUGCCAGCAGCCGCGGUAAAACGUAGGAGGCGAGCGUUAUCCGGAUUUACUGGGCGUAAAGCGCGUGCAGGCGGAUUGGAGAGUUGGAUGUGAAAGCUCCCGGCUUAACUGGGAGAGGUCGUUCAAUACUUCCAGUCUUGAGUGCAGUAGAGGGAAGGGGAAUUCCGGGUGUAGUGGUGAAAUGCGUAGAUAUCCGGAGGAACACCAGUGGCGAAAGCGGCUUCCUGAACUGUAACUGACGCUCAGACGCGAAAGCUAGGGUAGCAA
rnacentral:rRNA from 1 species